rnacentral:miRNA from 1 species
AGAGGGAAGAUGAGAGGGGAGGAUGGGAGGGAGGAGUAACAAAAGUGAAAACUAAAACUAAAACUGAAAACUAAAACUAAAACUGAAAUCUAUUUGAAAUUGUUUUCACUUUCAAGUUUUUAUUUUCACUUUUAUUACUCCUCCCUCCCGUCCUCCCCUCUCAUCAUCUCUCUCA